rnacentral:lncRNA from 1 species
GGAACUUGUUAGAAAUGUAGAUUCUUGGGCUCCAACCCAGGCCUACUAAAGUGGAAGCUCUGGGGGUGGGGCCCACAGUCUGUGUUUACUAAGCCUUCCAGGUGAUUCUGAUGCACACUCAGGUGUGAAAACCUCUGCUGUAGAGCACGCUUAUGUGAGUGUGUUCAUGCACCACAUUCUGGGCAUUUUCAAGAAUAGGUAUUCAUUCUCAGACAUAUGCUCCCUGCUACUGCUUCCUAUGUAGGGAUGCAUUCAUUUUCCUAGUCAAACUGGAACAAUGUCAUAUGUGUCUGAAAAUCCCUUAAACUUUGCUUCCCAAGGGUCGGUUCAAGACGAGAAGCAUCUGUAUCUCCUGCGGGCUUGUAAAGAAGGCAGAAUCGUGGGCCCAUCCCAGAUCUACUUAAGCAGAAUCUUCAUUUUUGACAUGAUCCUUCCAGAAGCCACUGGGAUUCCUGGAGUGUUUUCGGAGCAGUGAGUACCACAGACUUUAGCAAGCACACUGGAUGAGAAUCCAACAGUGACCUUGCUUGAGGAAGAUGAACAACGCUUCAGACAGCAUGUCAAAUAGAUUCAAGUUUUAAGAAAUCAGGAAGAAACCAUCUUGGAAAACAAAUAUUGAAGUUUUGACUCUAUAGAGCCAAUGGAUGUGGACCCUGGACUUAGAAAGAGAUUUGUAAACAAACCAGAGAACACCGAAGAGCUGCUCCUUCGCACUGAAAUGGUUUGCUGGCUUUCUGCCUAGAUCCGACAUCUCUUCAAAUGGACAGUCCCAACUCUCCUUCUCUCACUUCUCUUCCCCCUUCUCUGUAAGUCACAAAUGCUGCAUUUGGAGGAACUUCAUUUUAACUAGGAUAAACAUCACAUAAUAAAUGAUGCAUUUUUUCUCAUAAAGCAAACCAUUUAUCAAUGUUUUUAGUAAUUGUUUGUGUUGGAGCCCUUGGUGGAAGUCUUAUGAUCUAUAGUGUCCAUUGAGGCUUCCAUUUAAAGGGGGGCAGAGACAAUGCCAAAGUUGAUACAAGGGAUGAUGGGGAGAUAAGCUCUCGAGGCCUAUAUAUUAUCCGCCCGCAGUGUUGGGAGGGCCACAGGAAGGAUGGUGAUUAUUCUAUUUGGCAAGCCAAUUGUCUGUCUUUGGAAAAUGAUAGGAUGAAGAGUGGAGUCAAAAAUAAUACCUUUCUCGAUGCCCAGAUAUAAAUGAGCUAUUUACAAUCCCUCCUGCCUUUUAGGUUUGGGUUUUAUUUUUCCUCUGCACAAUAGAUUAAACCUUCAAGGAGGUUUGUAGUAAAAGAGGAGGAAACUAUGAAAAACACCACAUACUUGCAGACACCUGCAAGCA